GAUGAACGCUGGCGGCGUGCCUAACACAUGCAAGUCGAGCGAUUUACUUCGGUAAAGAGCGGCGGACGGGUGAGUAACGCGUGGGUAACCUGCCCUGUACACACGGAUAACAUACCGAAAGGUAUGCUAAUACGAGAUAAUAUGCUUUUAUCGCAUGGUAGAAGUAUCAAAGCUUUUGCGGUACAGGAUGGACCCGCGUCUGAUUAGCUAGUUGGUAAGGUAACGGCUUACCAAGGCGACGAUCAGUAGCCGACCUGGGAGGGUGAUCGGCCACAUUGGAACUGAGACACGGUCCAAACUCCUACGGGAGGCAGCAGUGGGGAAUAUUGCACAAUGGGCGAAAGCCUGAUGCAGCAACGCCGCGUGAGCGAUGAAGGCCUUCGGGUCGUAAAGCUCUGUCCUCAAGGAAGAUAAUGACGGUACUUGAGGAGGAAGCCCCGGCUAACUACGUGCCAGCCGCCGCGGUAACAC
rnacentral:rRNA from 1 species